UGUGUGUGUAUGUAUAUAAUUGUUUGUGUGAUGUCAUGUUCUCUUGGCUAUUUAUGCAUAUAUUAUAGAAAUCAUCAAGAAAUCAUUCGGCAUCGAAGUGUCGCAAGACAUUUUCUUUCUUUCGAAAUUUGUAGGCGUGUUUCGCACGGUGUUGACCUGUCACAUCGACCUAUUUCUUUCAUUCUUCUUAUAUUCUCGUUUUACUUUUCUACGCAGUUUUAAAAUAAUUGAUUCUUGGUUUGUCCCCUGAGGAAUAACUGUCCUGUCGAGAUAAUAUUUAUUAAUGGCAUCAGAUAAGCCAUGAGAUAUUGUUUCUAAGGUGUAACUGAUAUCCACUCAGAAACGUAGUGAUAACCGUAAUAUUAUCAAAUAUUGUCAGUUCUGACUUUUUACGUAAGAUCGCACGUUCACUCUGUCUAUAAAUUCGUGGCGGCACGUAAAAUACUUUAGUAUAACUGGUUUCUUCGAAACGGUUGUAAGAAGACUUUCUCGUGCGCGAAACUGAACAUUUUGCACACCAUUCCGAUAAAAUGGACAAGCGUCUAGCGUUUGCGUUAAUUGCCUUGCUUGUUGUCAACGUUAUAUCGGCAGGCCCUAACUCUGACCAGUGUAGUCCACUUCGCGGGCCAUGUAAUAUUAGCGAAGAAUGCUGUCCAGGCUUGGUAUGCUUGUUUUACGCGCACAGAUGCGUAUCGGCUCGUAUAAAUCAGGAUAAUCGACUAGAACCGACUAAGCAACUGAGGUUGUAACGAACGGAACGCCUUCUUCCAAAAAGAACGACCUCAAGGAUGACGCUUUGAAGACACGCAAGAUGCAGUACGAGGGAUAUAUAUCGUGCGAUGUCUUACCGUCUACGUUCUAGUGGCAGAUUCAACUUUAACAUUGAAGGUUCUGAUCUAAUCUAUAUACUAAGAUCUUCGAACAGAUGACUUAUUAAAGAUUAAAUUUGUUGUAACAA